GUCUGAUUGCAGUGAUCAUCAAAAGACGUCAUUUGCAGGGAGAAAAAAACAUUAAAAAAAUUACCAAUUAUUUUUAACUAGGAAACAAGGUAGGUCUAAAGGUAAGGCAUGAUAAAUAUUUUUAUUUUUUUUUAAACUUUAUUUUUGUGUGAAAAAUCUUGUCUUAAAUAUUACAAACAGUAUGUGUUAGACAUGUGAUACUUGACGUACAUGUUAACAUUGUGUCUGUUACAUCACCAUUCGUUCAUUUUUAAAUUAAACAGGUUACAGCGUAGAUCUUUCACAUUUUUUGUUUUGUAUAACUUGGAGAAAAACCAGCAGUAAGCAAUAAGAAAAACCUUCUAAGGCGAGCAGUUUUCGGUGCCUGUAGUGUCGCUUGGUAUUUGGGUUGGGACUUAGUGACUUGGCCCUUUUUUGUGUAGCCCUGUAGGUGUCAGAGGGCCGCAGUGUAAGUUAGGGUGUAGGACUCUGUACCUGUGUUCCCUCCC